GUGACAUUGCCAGGCUGGACAGUAUUUACCAUAAUCAUCUGCAGGUCACAGAUAGGAAUUCUGAUGGACAUUCUGAGACAUGAAACAGUCAAGGCAUUUGUCCAAGGUCACACAGGAAGCCUGUUGCAGAGCUAGGAAUAAAACUGCUUCCCUACUCCAUCCUUACUAAUAUCUAUCCUUUCACUAAGUCACUCUACUGCCACAAGAUGGACUGCUUUCCCGUUAAAAAACAAAAACAAGAAAAUAUCAUUUUGGCACCAGCUGACAAUAAGGUGACAGUGAACAACAUUUUCUGUGAAGCAGCUGCUGCUGGAGUCCUCGCUAGCUAGCAAAUUCAGCAUAAAGUGUGUGCCAGAAGUGCUCUGAGAAUCUGUGUAUGCCACGGCACGUCCAUCUGCUAUACACAACACAUGCCAGUCUCUUCAGUAUGCACUGAGAAGACAAGUCUGAAAUGUAGGGAAGCAGAAGGAAUUAAAUACAGAAUCUAAAUAAAACAUAUUGUAUAA
rnacentral:lncRNA from 1 species